rnacentral:rRNA from 1 species
UACGAAGGGGGCAAGCGUUGUUCGGAAUUACUGGGCGUAAAGCGCACGUAGGCGGACAUUUAAGUCAGGGGUGAAAUCCCGGGGCUCAACCCCGGAACUGCCUUUGAUACUGGAUGUCUGGAGUCCGGAAGAGGUGAGUGGAAUUGCGAGUGUAGAGGUGAAAUUCGUAGAUAUUCGCAGGAACACCAGUGGCGAAGGCGGCUCACUGGUCCGGUACUGACGCUGAGGUGCGAAAGCGUGGGGAGCAAACAGG